rnacentral:lncRNA from 1 species
UGUGUCUUUUUGCUAUUUCUUUGGGCCGCUCCCGCGGCAUAUGGAGGUUCCCAGGCUAGGGGUCCAAUCGGAGCUGUAGCCACUGGCCUACGCCAGAGCCACAGUAAUGUGGGAUCCAAGCUGCGUCUGCAACCUACACCACAGCUCACGGCAACGCCGGAUCGUUAACCCACUGAGCAAGGGCAGGGACCGAACCUGCAACCUCAUGGUUCCUAGUUGGAUUCGUUAACCACUGCGCCACGACAGGAACUCCUCUCCUUCCUUUUUAAGGCUAAGUAGUACUCCCUGGUAUGUAUGGAUGAUGUCUGGCUUACCCAUUCGCCUGUUGGUGCAUGACUGGCCCGUGAGCACUUUUGGUUACAGUGAACAGUGCUGCUGUGAACACGAGGUGCAGCAGAAAUGAAUCCAACUAGCAUCCAUGAGGAUGCAGGUUCAAUCCCUGGCCUUGCUCAGUGGGUUAAGGAUCCAGCAUUGCCAUGAGCUGUGGUGUAGUUCACAGACACGGCUUGGAUCCCAUAUUGCUGUGGUUGUGGUGUAGGCCAUUGCUGCAGCUCUGAUUCAAUCCCUACCCUGGGAGCUUCCAUAGGCCACAGGCAUGGCCCUGAAAAUUGGGGAAAAAAAAAAUCUGCCUAAAGCUGUGCAGGGAACAAGAAGUGGACUGUCGCAGAACCCAGCAAGCCUGCCUGUUUACACCAACCAUGUCACCACUCGGGAUGUGUGGGGAAUGACAGGCUCAGGAAGGAGGCUACCUGCAGGUAUUUGGAAUACUCCUGGCAGGAACUGACAAGGGCUGUGAACUCAGGCAGCAAAGAAGGAUGGACAGGAGAGGAGGGGUCUGAGAGCCUCAGGGCAGGACAGACAAGCUCCCAGGGAGAGAAUGACCACAGAUGGGGGGAUGGGCCAGGCAUCUGAAGCAGUGGACAGCUUUUGAGCUCGACCACAUGCUGGAGAGAGGUGUCACCACCCACAGACCCUGGGUAAACCUGUGAUGGGGGAGGGGGACAAGGUUCUCCUGGGUACCUGCUGAAUCUGAGAUUCUGCAGGACAUCCAGAUAGAGGCGUCCAGCAGGCGGUCAUGGCCAGAGUCAGACUCAAAGGGAAAAUCUUGCUGGAGGCACAGACUGGGCAGCUGUUAGCACAGGGAGGGUUAGAAGCCUGGAAGCAGAUGGGCUUGUUAAUGGGUCAUGUGUGGGGGAUGAAAAGGAGACUGAAACCAGGGACUGGGGCAUCACAGGCCCGGGCAGCGGGCACACUUGGGUUUGUAACUUUAGAGCUGCCGUAAGAGCAUGGAGAGCAUGGGGAGGCCCCUCUGCAUUGACCCACGUGCCCCCUGUCCCAGUUGGUGGAACACCAUUGGUCAGGGGCUGGGGCGACAGAGGAGACAAGACGACUGACAUCCAUAGAGAAGCAUCAGAAGGGUGGGAAGAACGUGGAAUCCAGGACAAGAGAAAGUUUCCAGACGGCUGGUGUCCGAUGCCUCACAGAGAUCAAAGGAACAGGGCCUGAAAGAUGUAACUGACUUCUGCAGUGGAUAUGGCUGGUGACCUUGGAAAGAGUCAGUCCCUCAAAGAAGUGGAAUCGCCCUGGGCUGCAGCCUGACAGAGCCUCAUGUAUGUGGGCGUGGAGGUGUGCAGACAAACGCCUUGGGAGAGAGAGCAGCCAGGGGGUGCGGGGCCUGGGCUGCUGGGGACCCUGGGGGCCAGUGCACACAUCCAUACCGAGGAAGGGAACGCUGCAGAUGGCCCAGGCCUGGAGGCCCGAGUGACCAGGCAAGAGUCAUUCCCAGCAGGGAGGGCACCUGGGAACAGAGCAGGGCAGCGAGAGGCCCUGGGAAAGCUGGAGCCUGUGGAAAGGAGGCCGCUUGGUGCUGGUCUUGGCCGUGGAGCUGGCACCUGCCAGAAGCGGCAGAGUGACAGGGAGUUCCUGUUGAUGGCAUAAAGUCAGAGUCAGAGUUCAUGCUAUGGACUCGAUAAAACGGGUUCUGGAAACUGACUCUAAGGGUGAAUGAAAGAAAAAGCAGACAUGCAAGUACGCCUGUGGCAAACUGUACAGUAUUAUUUUUAAAAAGCACAUGUGGCUAAGAAUAUGGAAACUGGUUAAGUGAAUUCUGGAACGUUUGCUCAACUGGAUGGAAUGUCAUGAGGUCAUGCAAAUGUUAACUAUGAAGCGUAAAGUGGUUAUGCUGGUAAAUGGAAAAUCAGUUUGAAAAUUGUAUGUAUGCUCUCAUUACAACUAUGGAAAACGUUUUCACGUGAAGAUAUACAUAAUAGAAUCCUGAAAAUUUAUAUGAGCUGUUGGUUGGGGAUAAUGGCAAGGGUACAGAUUUUGUUUUUUCUUUCUCCCUUUGGUUAACUCAGUUUGAAUCUGAAUGCUGCAGCACUGGUUAGAAAAAUAAAAAGCACCCUUGUAUCUAUCUUAUUAGUUAUCAGCCUAUUGAGAGAACACAGCUGAAUAUCUCCUGUGCUCUGAUGGUGUGCAGGCCUAACAGGACAGAGUUCUCGUGAUGCAGGAUUCCUCUGACAUGGAGGUGAGUGUGGAUGGCAGGGCUGUUCCCACCACUGCAACCCCGGUCUCCCUGGUCACCCCAUAGGCCCAAGUGCCCCUGCAUGCUUUCAAUGGAAGAUGCGCUGGCCGAACUCAUUCUCAUAUUCUUAGCCCACCCCCCUGGCUGGGAUGGAGAAGGCAGAGGAGGCGAGCAAGGCCGUCCUGGCCACCCCGUCUAGCACACAGCCAGCGUGGCUCCUGGCUUGGGGUCAGGUCCUUGGGGCCACCCACAUGCUCUCGUUGACUCCCACCGUUCACCCCCAGUCUCAGGGGGUAAUUGAGCACUGCUUUUGGGUCUCGGUCUCUUAAUAUUUGUCUUCCACUAUUUUGAUUUAAAUUCUCUGACACAAUAGAAAAGUUAGACUUAACUGACAUUUUCAGGAUAUCACAUCCAAAAAAAUCAGAACAUACACACAUACUCAAGUGCACACGGAACAUUCUCAAGGACUGACCCCAUAAUGGGCCACAAAACUAACCUCAACAAAUUGAGGGGUAUAGAAAUUAUUUCAAUUAUCUUCUCUGACCACAAUGGCAUGAAACUAGAAAUCAACCACAGGAAAAGAAAGGAGAAAAAAACUGACUACAUGGAGACUAAACAACAUGCUACUAAAAAACCAAGGGGUCAAUGAGGAAAUCGAGAAGGAAAUCAAAAAAUACCUCGAGACAAAUGAUAAAUGAAGACACAACCAUUCAAAAUCUAUGGGAUGCCGCAAAAGCAGUGCUUAGAGGGAAAUUCACAGCAAUACAGGCCUUCCUCAAAAUAAGAAAAAUCUCAAAUUGACAACUUAACUCACCACCUAAAUGAAUCAGAAAAAGAAGAACAAACAAGACCAAAAUCAGCAGAAGGAAGGAAAUUAUAAAGAUCAGAGAGGAAAUUAAUAAAACAGAGAUUCGAAAAUAGGAAAAAAAAUCAAUAAAACUAAGAGCUGGCUUUUUGAAAAGGUAAACAAAAUGGACAAACCUCUGGCCAGACUCACCAAGAAGAGGAGAGAAAAAAACCCAAAUAAACAAAAUAAGAAAUGAUUUAAAUUCUACUCUUCUCCCUUUCUGUAAACUAGCAUUUAGAGAGUUUAUUUAAAGUAUAGUUGAUUUACAAUGCUGUGCUAAUUUCUGUACAGCAAAGUGACCCAGUCUCUCUCUCACACACACAAACACAAAUAGUCUUUUGAUCUCCCCCAUCAUGUUCUAAACCAAGAGACUGGAUAGAGUUCCCUGUGCUGUAGAGCAGAACCUCACUGCUUAUCCAUUCUGAAUUUAAUAGUUUGCGUCUACUAA